rnacentral:misc_RNA from 1 species
UUGAUAUUGGGUUUUCUACCGACGGUACUGCUACUGCAAGAGGUUUCUGGGGGGUCCCUGGCGGCGCGCGAACCCGCCGAGGAAACGGACGGUACUCGUAAACAGGGGGUGCUAUCUCAAUGGGGACGAGGUCCCCACGGUAAUGAUCCUUCCGCAGGUUCACCUACGGAAA